rnacentral:lncRNA from 1 species
GAUUAUAGCUGGGUCUCUCUUGACGAAUGGGCUUCUUCAUCUUGAGAAUGAUAGUCUUAAGAGCAUCCAAGUUGAUUGACUGGUUUUCGUCCAAGUGAGAUCCCGGGGCGGAUGCUUGCUUUAUGCAUGGACGAUGACCUUGGCUAGAACCUCCAGCUCCACUAGGCUUUCCCCGUCCACUAGCACGGGCAAACACUUUGGGAGUAGCCUUCCUUUUCCCUCUCCCCUUAGAAAUAGGAAUCUCAUCUGACUCAGUAGAGGAAUCGGACUGAAUCUCUGGGGUAUCC